GCUGGUUUGGCUCAAUGGAUAGAGCGUCGGCCUGUGGACUGAAGGGUCCCAGGUUCGAUCCCAGCAAACAGCA
rnacentral:tRNA from 1 species